CAUGAAGAACUGUCUUAAAGGGUCGCAGCCUUAGGAAGGUUGAAAAGCACUUUAAAGCAUCCCAUUGCUCCAGGCUAGAGUUUCCAGCACCAAGACACUGGAAGUAGAGCCCACCCGCUGAUCUUACUCAACCUAGGAUAUAAACAAAGAUUUUUUUUUCCCUCAUUUAAAAAUACCGGACUCUUAUUAACUACUAAUCUUUCUCCAUCCCUCAGAAUCAAGCAGACUUUACUCAAGUGCAUCAUCAAGAGAGGCGAGACAUGCAUGCUAGCGUCUGUCUAAAGGCAUGGACCAGCUGUUGUGUGAUUAUUCUGAGACCAUUCUAUUGCUUUGUGGAUGUCUCAGGGGUAAACCCCGAGGGUCUAAGACAGAGAACUCUGACUUGGAGUUAUGGAUGAUGAGCACAGAGCCUUCCAAUAAUCAACUGAGAGGGGAGGCUUGGGCCAGUCUGUCUGAAGUGAGACAGUUACUACUUAUUACCCUAGACUCACUUGAAGAAUACUACCUAAAGUCAAGGUCUACAGUUUCGCUUAACACUGAGUGUUUUGCUGGAAACUUUCCUGUCGUGGUAAUUAGUUAACCAUUUUGUGCUCCUGAUAGGUUGCACCUGCCUGAGAGCUAUCUUGAUUCGAGAAUGAAAGACACAACCUCUUAACCUC
ensembl:antisense Gm43151 predicted gene 43151